AAAAUUAGUGAACUGUGAAAACUAUACUAAGUGAAAAAAGACAGUCACAAAAGACCAUAUAUUGGAGGGGUCAAUUUAUACGAAAUGUCCAUAAUACUCAAAUUCAUAAAGACAGAUUAAUGAUUGUCUAGGGCCAAAAGAAAUAGUAGAGGGAAAAGAGGAAUAAUUGCUAAGGAAGAGGAUGAAAAUGUUCCUAAAUUGAUGGUAUGAUGGUUAUAUAACUGAAUGUACUAAAAACGUUGAGUUAUGCACUUUUAAUAGGUAAAUUGUGUAGAGUGUGAACUUUCUCAUUAAUGCUAUUAUUUUAAAAACAAAAACAAAUCUAAGAAAGAAGUAAGGAAAAAUGAGGUGACAAUUCUGUUGAACAACCUGUUUAUCCUCUACCAAUAACUAUUCAUCCCUUAUGCAGAUUAGAAGACAUGACUGGAUUGUCCUGAAUAAAGACUCCUCAGCCUACCUUGCAGCCUGAUUUGACGUUGUGACUAAUUCUGAACAAUGGGAUACAAUUAGAAGAGAUGUGUUUUGACUUCUGUUUGUUCUUGAUAGGAAAGUGCAAGUCCUUCCAUGCUGGCUGGCAUGCAGAUGAAGUGGCUCGAUUUUGAACAACAUCUUGUACCAUGAGGAGGUUCAGCAAAGCAAGAAGAUGUGCAGAGCCUGGAGAACAACAACUUAUGAAGCUGCCAUAUGAGCCUUGGGUUGGUUAGGUGAAGGAGAAAUAAUUUCUAACUAAUACAGAGUAAUUGGGGUUUUUUGUCACUUGCAGUACUAUUUAAUCUACACCAGUAUACUAUUAAUGUAAAUAUAGAUGAACAGCAAAGUUAAAUGAGUUAAUGUGGUUAACUCAUAGCUUUUAAAAAUGGCUUUGUGGGCUGGGGUUUUGGCUCAGUGGUAGAGCACUUGCCUGGCAUGUGUGAGGCACUGGGUUCAAACCUCAGCACCACAUAAAAAUAAUUAAACAAAAUAAAGGCAUUGUGUCCAUGUGCAACAAAAAAAAUAUUUUUUUUAAAUGGCUUUGUAGGUCCCUCCUAUGCUAUUUAGGGAUGAGGGGAUCACACAAAAUCUGAUGUGGAAAACAGCAAUCAUUGUAUUUCAUAGAAAUAAUUUUUAAAGAUCACCUAACUCCCCUUAUCCUCAUUAUUCACUACAAUUGUUCAUCAUACUCUACUUAAGUUUCUCUAGGAUAAGGAUGUCCCUCUUUCCCAAAGAGAAAUAUAAUAGUAAAAAGUUAGGAACAAAGAUAUUAAUGAGAACUAAUCAUGUUGAUUCUAUGACUGCUAUAAGCAGGGCUUUCUGCUGGUAGAGAGCAAAGAAGUAUUGGAAUAGUUCUCACAGAAUUUACAGGCAGAUGGGAAACAGGUGGAAAAGUCCCUUGCCCCUGUCCUCAUAUUGCAGUAUCACAACCCUGAUUGGCAUUGCCAGCCAGUAAGGCUGCAGCACAAUGGCUUGUACACUCCCAAGUCCAAGUACAGCAUCAGAGGGCAGACUUGAAGGCCGGGGAGAUAACUAAUGUGAAUUCUUCUUGAAUAGAUGUUCCACCUUAAGUGUACAGAUUAGAUUUUGCAGUCAGUGUUCUGUGAAUUUGAGUAAUGUAAGUCAGUUCCUCAGAUCUCCUAAUAGUUCCUUGGAAGUGACUGAUAACAUCAGGAUAGAAUCCUAGUCCAAGGUCACUUCAGGCAUUAUUAUACCUCUGCUGUCUCCUCCAGCUGCCAUUUUCCAUUGUUACUCUCCAGAGCUCAAUUCCAUACAUGAGUCUUGAGAUGCCAAAAGUGAGAAGUACAGUUCAGAAUACAGAAAAAGAAAUGGCAACAAGAAAAUGCACUCUAGCUACACACACACAAUGACUAAAUAUACUUUCAUUGUUAUUUAUUUAUAAUUCAUGAUCAUAAGAAACAUCAUUGAAAGUAAGACUGGCAAAUGCUAAUAUUUCAACUUUCUUUGCCUACUAAAAAAAUUGCUAUGUGCUUGAUUUGGUGUUUUGCAGAAAUCUUGACCAAGAUUAUUUUUAAAAAUCACCAUAGAGGUAAUAAAAAAUGUAUUUUUAUCUUAUGAGACUUAAAAUCUCUAACUUCUAAAGCAAAUUUGAAUAAAUUUCUACAGUUUUAUACCUCAAAUUAUCCAUGAAACUACAACUAUUUAUUGGAAAUAAAUCAAACAUAAAAUUUGAAAUGUAUAUAAUAUAUUAUGAAGGCUUGAAAGUUUGUAAUUACAUACUAGUGCUUAAACAAAAUAAAUGUAAUAAGAAAUAAAAGAUAAAAUAUAAAAAAAAAAAAGAAAAUGCACUCUAGCAAGUUCUAUUCACUACCAUAGUUUUCUGCCUUUUCAAUAAACAGACCUUGUUAAGGGAAACAAAAUACCCGAUCCUGGGAGAUGAAUCAUGCUGCUUUAGGUCAAUCAGCACAAUCUCAUUCUAAUUUACCUGCCUACACACUUUCCCAGAGUUCUUAUAGUAGGGCUGGUUAUAUUACUCCAUUCUGUCUUGAGAGAGAAAAGCCUGCUGGAGAAGUUUUAGGCAAUGGUUUUGUUUAUCACUGAAAGAACUGGACUAUGAAGGGAGGUACUUUCUCUGACUUUCCUCUUCUUUUCUCAGGAAGAAAAGCUGAGAAUGCAAUUCCUGGAGCUGAGACAGCCUUCUUCCAACUAUUCGGUAACGAUCAUGAAGACAGAAAAUAUGCUGAGGAAGGCAGAGUGGAAAAAACAGCCUAGUUUCUUGAGGAAAUUGCUGAGCCAUUGCACCAAGUCAAGAACAUAUAUCUUUAGGUGUAUUGCUAUAGCAUAUUGUGAUGGAUAAGCUACUAUUUGAUGUUCCGAUCGUUGCAUCUUGGAUGAUAUGAUAGUUCCAUGAAUGGCACAAGGAGUUGAGCAACAAGGCAUCAAAUCUUAUUCAGCAGAUAACACGGAAAAACAACUAUAAUUCAGUCAGCUAUCCAAAAAAGGAUAUCAUGUUUAACAAAAAUAAAGUGAAUUUGAACAUGGUGGCUAGUUGUUGUCAUGGAUUUAGGCUGUAUUUUGGAAUACUAAUAUGGCAUGAAUCCAUAAUUGCUUAACUCAAAAAUAAAAGCCAUUCUGUGCAUAUUUGUUCCUGU
rnacentral:lncRNA from 1 species